rnacentral:tRNA from 1 species
GGGCAACUAGCUCAACGGUUAGAGCGUCUGGUUUACAUCCAGAAGGUUAGGGGUUCGAAUCCUCUGUUGCCCA